rnacentral:rRNA from 1 species
GACGAACGCUGGCGGCGUGCUUAACACAUGCAAGUCGAACGGAAAGGCCCUGCUUUUGUGGGGUGCUCGAGUGGCGAACGGGUGAGUAACACGUGAGUAACCUGCCCUUGACUUUGGGAUAACUUCAGGAAACUGGGGCUAAUACCGGAUAGGAGCUCCUGCUGCAUGGUGGGGGUUGGAAAGUUUCGGCGGUUGGGGAUGGACUCGCGGCUUAUCAGCUUGUUGGUGGGGUAGUGGCUUACCAAGGCUUUGACGGGUAGCCGGCCUGAGAGGGUGACCGGCCACAUGGGGAUCGGGGAGCGGCCAGAAGGCCUACGGGGGGAAGGGGGGGGGAAUUUUGCAAAAUGGGCGGAAGCCGUGAGGAAGACCGCCGGGGGGGGGAGGCCGGCUUUUGGGUGAUAAACCGUUUUCGCCUGGGACGAAGCGUGGGGGCGGGAAAUGGGAAAAAAACCACGGGUAAAUUACGG